UACGAGUGCCCCGAGCGUUAUCCGGAAUCAUUGGGCGUAAAGGGUCCGCAGGUGGCCCGGUCAGUCCGCUGUCAAAGCCUGGGGCUCAACCCUGGAGAGGCGGCGGAGACCACCGGGCUUGAGUCCGGUAGGGGCAGAGGGAAUUCCCGGUGGAGCGGUGAAAUGCGUAGAGAUCGGGAAGAACGCCAGGGGCGAAGGCACUCUGCUAGGCCUGAUUUCGCGACUGACACUCAGGGACGAGAGCCAGGGGAGCGAAUGGG
rnacentral:rRNA from 1 species